ensembl:piRNA 21ur-4860 ncRNA
UCGUUCAGUUUUUGUUGGAAA